rnacentral:rRNA from 1 species
AUGGCAGGUCCAGACGACUCCGGUGGCGGCAAGUCGCCGGCCACUCCGCGGGCACGGGUCUCCGACGGCAACGAGCUUGCUGUGGCCGAGAGAUCCACAGCGCGGAUGGCGCGCGACAUCGGCGGUGCGGCGUGGCCGCAGCUGACCCGAUCCAACUACACCGACUGGGCUGUCCUGAUGCAGGUCAUGAUGGAGGGACGGUAUCUCUGGGACGCCGUCCAGACGGGCACCGCCGAGCGCAGCGAGGAUCGUUUGGCGCUCGAGGCGAUCAUGCGCGGCGUGCCGCCGGAGAUGGGACCCACGCUCGCCGCCAAGGCGACGGCGAAGGAGGCGUGGGACUCUCUGAAGACGAUGCGGCUUGGUGUGGCGCGGGUGCGGGAGGCAAAACUCGCGACGCUCACCAGGCGGUACGGCGACAUCAAGUUCGCCGACGGCAAGUCGGUGGACGACUUCGCAAUGAGUCUCACCGCGAUGGUGGGGCAGAUGGCACAGCUUGGUGAAAACAUCCUUGAAAAACGAGUUGUGAGAAAAUUUCUGUCAGUAGUCCCCAAACAGUUUUCGCAGAUCGCUCUCUCGAUCGAAACUCUGGUCGAUCUCGAUCAGCUCUCUGUUGAGGAGCUGACUGGGAGACUGAAAGCGGCGGAGGAACGCCAUGAGCUGCAGCAGAGCACUGAUAGCGUGGGGCGCCUGCUUCUCACUGAAGAGGAGUGGAACGCCCGUCUCAAGAACGACGAUUCUCACGCUGGUGGCUCGGGCUCCGGCUCGUCUCGAGGCCGGCGUGGAAGAGGCUGUGGGCGCCGCGGCGGUGGCGGCGGACGCGGCCAGAACGGGGGUGCUGGCAGAGGAAACGCCGGUGGCACCGGCAACGACGACGAUCGCGACAAGUGUCGCUACUGCGGCAUCAGCGGCCACUGGGCCCGUGACUGCAGGAAGAAGAAGCGCGACGAGGAGGCGAAGGCCCUUCUCGCCCAAGGGCACGGCGGGGACGACGCCGAUCCCACGCACCUCCUCAUGGCGUAG